rnacentral:lncRNA from 12 species
UUGGGAUGUUGUCUGGUUGAACUGGCAACAAAACAAGAAUAGUAAUAAUAAAACAUUCCUGAAUAGACAUUUUAAAUUCUUUUUCCUAAAUAACUUCUUUUUUUUUUUUAAUGAAGUCUCCUUAAAAGUUCAGAACAUGUAUUUUUC